UAGGGUUUGAUCAUGGCUCAGAACGAACGCUGGCGGCAGGCCUAACACAUGCAAGUCGAGCGCACCUUCGGGUGAGCGGCGGACGGGUUAGUAACGCGUGGGAAUAUACCCAAAGGUACGGAAUAGCCUCUGGAAACGGAGAGUAAUACCGUAUGUGCCCUUCGGGGGAAAGAUUUAUCGCCUUUGGAUUAGCCCGCGUUGGAUUAGGUAGUUGGUGGGGUAAUGGCCUACCAAGCCUACGAUCCAUAGCUGGUUUGAGAGGAUGAUCAGCAACACUGGGACUGAGACACGGCCCAGACUCCUACGGGAGGCAGCAGUGGGGAAUCUUAGACAAUGGGCGCAAGCCUGAUCUAGCCAUGCCGCGUGAGUGACGAAGGCCCUAGGGUCGUAAAGCUCUUUCGCCAGGGAUGAUAAUGACAGUACCUGGUAAAGAAACCCCGGCU
rnacentral:rRNA from 1 species